rnacentral:rRNA from 1 species
UACGUAGGGUGCGAGCGUUGUCCGGAAUUAUUGGGCGUAAAGAGCUCGUAGGCGGUUUGUCGCGUCUGCCGUGAAAGUCCGGGGCUCAACUCCGGAUCUGCGGUGGGUACGGGCAGACUAGAGUGAUGUAGGGGAGACUGGAAUUCCUGGUGUAGCGGUGAAAUGCGCAGAUAUCAGGAGGAACACCGAGUGGCGAAGGCAGGUCUCUGGGCAUUAACUGACGCUGAGGAGCGAAAGCAUGGGGAGCGAACAGG